rnacentral:lncRNA from 1 species
GUUUCAUCCGAGCGCAGGAUGUCGUGACAUUAUAGCGCCACAUGAAUAUUUUACACACUGCGUAGAGAUGAGAUCCGUCGCUCGCAAACACGCUGCUCUUCCUGUAAAGCGCUCUGUAACUCAGGAGACUUCAUUCACUUCUCAGGGUUCUUGGUCCAGCUUUCAUGUGCACAGCUGCUCACCUUAUAGCCAGCAGUAUACCCCCGGCAGCCCCCCUCUGCCCCGGACCGUCUGCAGGGUCCCACCGGACGCACAAACACACAGGCUCUCAUACAGCUGACCAGAAUCUAUUAAAGCCGCCGGAGGUCUGCGGUGAUGCCCGUGACCCGAGCACCUGUCCUCUCGCGC